rnacentral:rRNA from 1 species
GUGCCAGCAGCCGCGGUAAGACGAACCGAGCGAACGUUGUUCGGAAUCACUGGGCUUAAAGGGCGCGUAGGCGGCUUACCAAGUCAGGGGUGAAAUUUUGCGGCUUAACCGUAACAGUGCCUUUGAUACUGGUAGGCUCGAGGGAGGUAGGGGUCCGCGGAACUUCUGGUGGAGCGGUGAAAUGCGUUGAUAUCAGAAGGAACGCCGGUGGCGAAAGCGGCGGACUGGAUCUCUUCUGACGCUGAGGCGCGAAAGCUAGGGGAGCAAACGGGAUUAGAUACCCCGGUAGUCCUAGCCCUAAACGAUGGGUACUAGAUUGUAAGCGUGACAUGCGCCUACAGUCGAAGCAAAAGUGUUAAGUACCCCGCCUGGGGAGUAUGGUCGCAAGGCUGAA